rnacentral:rRNA from 1 species
AUGAAACACUCCUACGGGAGGCAGCAGUGGGGAAUUUUGGACAAUGGGCGAAAGCCUGAUCCAGCCAUGCCGCGUGAGUGAAGAAGGCCUUCGGGUUGUAAACCGCUUUUGUCAGGGAAGAAAAGUUCCGGGUUAAUACCCUGGGAUGCUGACGGUACCUGAAGAAUAAGCACCGGCUAACUACGUGCCAGCAGCCGCGGUAAUACGUAGGGUGCGAGCGUUAAUCGGAAUUACUGGGCGUAAAGCGUGCGCAGGCGGUUUCGUAAGACAGAUGUGAAAUCCCCGGGCUUAACCUGGGAACUGCGUUUGUGACUGCGAGACUUGAGUGCGGCAGAGGGGGGUGGAAUUCCACGUGUAGCAGUGAAAUGCGUAGAGAUGUGGAGGAACACCGAUGGCGAAGGCAGCCCCCUGGGUCGACACUGACGCUCAUGCACGAAAGCGUGGGGAGCAAACAGGAUUAGAAACCCUAGUAGUCCGAAGUUC